rnacentral:rRNA from 1 species
UACAGAGGGUGCGAGCGUUGUUCGGAAUUACUGGGCGUAAAGCGCGCGCAGGCGGCCUUUUAAGUCUCGUGGUGAAAUGCCGGGGCUCAACCCCGUGCCCGCCGGAGAUACUGGGAGGCUGGAGACGAGUAGAGGCAAGCGGAAUUCCGGGUGUAGCGGUGGAAUGCGUAGAGAUCCGGAAGAACACCGGAGGCGAAGGCGGCUUGCUGGGCUCUGUCUGACGCUGAGGCGCGAAAGCGUGGGUAGCAAACAGG